rnacentral:rRNA from 1 species
AGCGAACGCUGGCGGCAGGCCUAAUACAUGCAAGUCGAGCGGUCACUUCGGUGGCAGCGGCGGACGGGUGAGUAACGCGUGGGAACGUGCCCUUUGGUUCGGAACAACACAGGGAAACUUGUGCUAAUACCGAAUGUGCCCUUCGGGGGAAAGAUUUAUCGCCAUUGGAGCGGCCCGCGUUGGAUUAGGUAGUUGGUGGGGUAAAGGCCCACCAAGCCUACGAUCCAUAGCUGGUCUGAGAGGAUGAUCAGCCACACUGGGACUGAGACACGGCCCAGACUCCUACGGGAGGCAGCAGUAGGGAAUCUUGCGCAAUGGGCGAAAGCCUGACGCAGCCAUGCCGCGUGAAUGAUGAAGGUCUUAGGAUUGUAAAAUUCUUUCACCGGGGAAGAUAAUGACGGUACCCGGAGAAGAAGCCCCGGCUAACUUCGUGCCAGCAGCCGCGGUAAUAC